rnacentral:rRNA from 1 species
GACGAACGCUGGCGGCGUGCUUAACACAUGCAAGUCGAACGGAUAGGCCCUGCUUUUGUGGGGUGCUCGAGUGGCGAACGGGUGAGUAACACGUGAGUAACCUGCCCUUGACUUUGGGAUAACUUCAGGAAACUGGGGCUAAUACCGGAUAGGAGCUCCUGCUGCAUGGUGGGGGUUGGAAAGUUUCGGCGGUUGGGGAUGGACUCGCGGCUUAUCAGCUUGUUGGUGGGGUAGUGGCUUACCAAGGCUUUGACGGGUAGCCGGCCUGAGAGGGUGACCGGCCACAUUGGGACUGAGAUACGGCCCAGACUCCUACGGGAGGCAGCAGUGGGGAAUAUUGCACAAUGGCGGAAGCCUGAUGCAGCAACGCCGCGUGCGGGAUGACGGCCUUCGGGUUGUAAACCGCUUUCGCCUGUGACGAAGCGUGAGUGACGGUAAUGGGUAAAGAAGCACCGGCUAACUACGUG